CCCCUGGUGGCUCAGAGGGUAAAGCGUCUGCCUACAGUGCAGGAGACCCGGGUUCGAUCCCUGGGUUGGGAA
rnacentral:tRNA from 1 species